rnacentral:rRNA from 1 species
GACGAACGCUGGCGGCGUGCUUAACACAUGCAAGUCGAACGGAAAGGCCCUGCUUUUGUGGGGUGCUCGAGUGGCGAACGGGUGAGUAACACGUGAGUAACCUGCCCUUGACUUUGGGAUAACUUCAGGAAACUGGGGCUAAUACCGGAUAGGAGCUCCUGCUGCAUGGUGGGGGUUGGAAAGUUUCGGCGGUUGGGGAUGGACUCGCGGCUUAUCAGCUUGUUGGUGGGGUAGUGGCUUACCAAGGCUUUGACGGGUAGCCGGCCUGAGAGGGUGACCGGCCACAUUGGGACUGAGAUACGGCCCAGACUCCUACGGGAGGCAGCAGUGGGGAAUAUUGCAGAAUGGGCGGAAGCCUGAUGCAGCAACGCCGCGUGCGGGAUGACGGCCUUCGGGUUGUAAACCGCUUUCGCAUGUGACGAAGCGUGAGUGACGGUAAUGGGUAAAGAAGCACCGGCUAACUACGUG